CCAUCUCUUGUUUCAACAAUGUUUGAACAGAACAG
rfam:Myotis lucifugus cont2.24455, whole genome shotgun sequence.